AAUGACUGAAGGGAAAUAUAGGAACGAUGAACAUCAUGGCACUAGAUGUCCCCUUGCGUUCUGAGGAACUACUAUGUUCAGAGAUCAAAGUGCACGAGUGGAUAUAAUCUCGGCACUUAGUGCUUACAACCCUUCGGUAUCAUCGACAAGCAAAACGGUGACUUGCAGCAACCGUCUUUGCACAUGGGGCAGCGAUUGGGUAAGACCACUCAACAGUUGACCAUAUUCCGUGUCCUAAAUAUGGCUAGAACUUCGAGUUCUGGGGCUUUGGUACAGGAUGUCCUACAUUUAAUUGAAUGAGCCCAAGCUAUGAACAUGUUGCGCCUGAAGCGUUCCGCUAAGUUCUUGAGCAUCACAUCUUUGAUCUUCACAGCCUCUGAAUUCCUUCGAUCAACAUCAAUAUAACAGAGUAUGCUUUUGGGAGUGCGCAAUCAUAUUUGCAUAAGGCAUAUCUUGAUAUCGGUUUCAAUUAGCAAUGUCAAUGCUGUUGUGGACAGGUAAAGAGUGGUUCUUUCCUGGAUAUUGCAGCUCCCAAUGGCUUGGUUGGCCUCCGGAUGGGGAAUAUAUCGGUACCUGAAAUUUUGUCGAGGGAGGGCUAUAUAGCAGACUCGAUCUCAAUGUGUUUCGAGCAUGAUGGGACGGGAAGGAUCAAUUUUGCGAAUAAAGACCAAGCUAUAAUGUCACUGUUGAUUCAAAUUCAGAUAGGAAUGACGCAACUUGACACGAAUGU